CCCUUAGAUGUCCUGGGCCGCACGCGCGCUACACUGACGGAGCCAGCGAGCGUGUCCUUCGCCGAAAGGUGCGGGUAAUCUUGGCAGCCUCCGUCGUGCUGGGGAUAGAUGGUUGCAAUUAUUGAUCUUGAACGAGGAAUUCCUAGUAAGCGCGAGUCACCAGCUCGCGUUGAUUACGUCCCUGCCCUUUGUACACACCGCCCGUCGCUACUACCGAUUGGAUGGCUUAAUGAAAACUCUGGAUCUCUGCCGGCGUGGUCUUCGCGGGCCGCGUUGGAUAGGGAGAAGUUGUUUAAAUUGAGUCUUCUAGAGGAAGUAAAAGUCGUAACA
rnacentral:rRNA from 1 species